rnacentral:rRNA from 1 species
AGCAGCCGCGGUAAUUCCAGCUCCAAUAGCGUAUAUUAAAGUUGCUGCAGUUAAAAAGCUCGUAGUUGAAUUUCGGGAUCAAUAUGUUGGUCGUGCCUUGGUACGUACUAGCUCAUUGGUUUCUCCCUUCUGACGAACCAUGAUGUCAUUAAUUUGAUGUCAUGGGGAAUC